GGAAUAAAAGUCGUAACAAGGUUUCCGUAGGUGAACCUGCGGAAGGAUCAUUAACGAGUUAGGGUCUUCUAGGCCCGACCUCCCAACCCUUUGUUUACUGAACCAUUGUUGCCUCGGUGGGUCCGUCUUACGACCGCCGGGGGAUCGCCGCGAGGCGCCCCCUGGCCAGCGCCCACCGAUAGCCCAACCUUUAAAACCCUUUGUGAAUCGUGUCUUAUGUCUAAAUUUAUGAUUAAACAAUCAAAACAAAACUUUCAACAACGGAUCUCUUGGUUCUG
rnacentral:misc_RNA from 1 species